AUUGAACGCUGGCGGCAGGCCUAACACAUGCAAGUCGAGCGGAUGACAGGAGCUUGCUCCUGAAUUCAGCGGCGGACGGGUGAGUAAUGCCUAGGAAUCUGCCUGGUAGUGGGGGACAACGUUUCGAAAGGAACGCUAAUACCGCAUACGUCCUACGGGAGAAAGCAGGGGACCUUCGGGCCUUGCGCUAUCAGAUGAGCCUAGGUCGGAUUAGCUAGUUGGUGAGGUAAUGGCUCACCAAGGCGACGAUCCGUAACUGGUCUGAGAGGAUGAUCAGUCACACUGGAACUGAGACACGGUCCAGACUCCUACGGGAGGCAGCAGUGGGGAAUAUUGGACAAUNGGNGAAAGCCUGAUCCAGCCAUGCCGCGUGUGUGAAGAAGGUCUUCGGAUUGUAAAGCACUUUAAGUUGGGAGGAAGGGCAGUAAAUUAAUACUUUGCUGUUNUGACGUUACCGACAGAAUAAGCACCGGCUA
rnacentral:rRNA from 1 species